rnacentral:rRNA from 1 species
UACGUAGGGGGCAAGCGUUGUCCGGAUUUAUUGGGCGUAAAGAGCGUGUAGGCGGCCAGGUAGGUCUGCUGUGAAAACUCGAGGCUCAACCUCGAGAUGUCGGCAGAAACCCUCUGGCUAGAGUCCGGAAGAGGAAAGUGGAAUUCCCGGUGUAGCGGUGAAAUGCGCAGAUAUCAGGAGGAACACCGGUGGCGAAGGCGGAUCUCUGGGCCUGUCCUGACGCUCAGGCGCGAAAGCUAGGGGAGCAAACAGG